GAAUAUCGGAAACGGUAAGGAAGCUACCGAAGUUACCGACGCCGACUCUAGCGCGGUCUAGGCAUAUAGGGUCUAGGUGUCGGUCGUGCCCUACAUUAUCUCGCGAGUAUAACACGAGUGUAGGAGAGAUAGCGGAUGCGCACGCGCCGACGUUACACGAAACGAGAGAACCAGAAUGCUGUGCGCGGGUACCUUCGAAAGCGAACGUCGUAACAAGCGAACUGCCACUUUUAGUCACAUGUCACGUAUCUAGUGAUUGACGGAGAGUGAUUUAUAUUGUUGCUGUCGUUCUGCGUUGACUGUUGUCAUACUGUGUUGCUGCUGUUUCGCUGUACUACCGUUGUUGUUGUUAUUAACGGGGAGGAGACGGGACCUUGGCGUCUCAGCGCCUUGUUGCUACGUCUGUGAAGUCGUCGACAACGAGACUUCGCCUCUACGCGAGCAAUAACCUUGACUCUUCGGCAGAAGGGAGUGAAGUUCGAGUGGAUGAAAGGCGAGAAACACGAGAUACGACAUAUUGGUGGCUUUGCUGUUUUGUCCUGUCCGUCGAUGACGAAUUUAGUCUCACCGAAUUUAACGAACGAUUACGAUCGAGAAGAUGAAGACCAAAGCGUUUUAGUUAUAAAAUUGUACCGCGAAGUUAUUCUAUAUCGACGGCGUGUUAAAAACAGGACAUUUUCUGUACAUGUCUUUUUAUGAAUGCUGAAAAAUGGGUGAAAAUUUGCCACUGAUUUUAAAACACUGUUUCAAAGACGCGAAAAAGCAAGAUCGAGAAAACGUAUCUGCUGUUUGCACAAGAUGUGCAAAACCAUUAAAAGGAAGUCUCGUCUCUACCACAAAUUUUUU